rnacentral:rRNA from 1 species
GUGCCUAAUACAUGCAAGUCGAGCGAACAGACGAGGAGCUUGCUCCUCUGACGUUAGCGGCGGACGGGUGAGCAACACGUGGAUAACCUACCUAUAAGACUGGGAUAACUUCGGGAAACCGGAGCUAAUACCGGAUAAUAUAUUGAACCGCAUGGUUCAAUAGUGAAAGACGGUUUUGCUGUCACUUAUAGAUGGAUCCGCGCCGCAUUAGCUAGUUGGUAAGGUAACGGCUUACCAAGGCAACGAUGCGUAGCCGACCUGAGAGGGUGAUCGGCCACACUGGAACUGAGACACGGUCCAGACUCCUACGGGAGGCAGCAGUAGGGAAUCUUCCGCAAUGGGCGAAAGCCUGGCGGAGCAACGCCGCGUGAGUGAUGAAGGUCUUCGGAUCGUAAAACUCUGUUAUUAGGGAAGAACAAAUGUGUAAGUAACUAUGCACGUCUUGACGGUACCUAAUCAGAAAGCCACGGCUAACUACGUGCCAGCAGCCGCGGUAAUACGUAGGUGGCAAGCGUUAUCCGGAAUUAUUGGGCGUAAAGCGCGCGUAGGCGGUUUUUUAAGUCUGAUGUGAAAGCCCACGGCUCAACCGUGGAGGGUCAUUGGAAACUGGAAAACUUGAGUGCAGAAGAGGAAAGUGGAAUUCCAUGUGUAGCGGUGAAAUGCGCAGAGAUAUGGAGGAACACCAGUGGCGAAGGCGACUUUCUGGUCUGUAACUGACGCUGAUGUGCG